rnacentral:snoRNA from 1 species
UCGUCAGUGCGGUACAUCCUGACCUGCCCCGCUCCGGCGGGCAGUGCGUGAUGAGCGGAGCGUGAUGACGUGUGAUUACAGUCACGUGGCGCGGGGCAGUGCAACACCCCGUGGGCCCCCUCUGAU